ensembl:lncRNA
UGAGCUCUUGUGUAAUUGACAGCCCUGCUCAGACAAAGGAGGACUACUGGACAUCAGUUUGACUGACACCAGCCUUCUCCAGCACUACUACAAUCAAUAACCAUUAACAGAAGUCUACUGGACUUGUGGAUUUACUGCUAUUAAUAAGCCGUGUCUAUCUGGGUGUAGUUUAUGAAGGAACUUUUAGGUCUGUAACUAAAAGGAACUGCUUUUCUGUAGUUUUGUAGCCUUAUCCCUGGGCUUGGAGAGAACCACAACUCUUAGAGCCAGAAGGGAGAAACAACAGAGGGAAGCUUCUCUUCAGAGCUGGUGAACGGUGAUGCGGUUUGUGCACGGCUUCAGAGGUAGCUGCCUUGCUUCCCUGUGGUUUCUAAGCCACCGUCCUGCAUGCACAAGAGAGGAGCAGAACCUGAGCUGUGUGGGAACACCAGCUGCUCAGCCUGGUGUCUCUGGCCCUUCUGCCUGGGGAUCUGGAGCUAUUGGUCAGGCAUCACACUGCGACCCAGUGAACUCAGCCCAUCCGUAUAGCUGGAACAUCUGUCAGGGAUGAACACGGGCUCUCCACAGGCUGCUGUGCCAAAUUCCUGAGAAAUAAACCCUCUCAAUCAGGGUGCUGUUGUUGACAGUGCACUUACGGAGGAUGUGAGUGUCAGCUCCAUCCUAGCAGAGUUAAACCCUGCAGGAUCCCUGCCCUGCUGGUGUCCCCAUUUUGUUGAUAAACGAACAGAGAAAGCCUUAUCAAAAUGAACAGAAUGCAGCCCUGCUAAUGUAGCUCCACUUGUGCUGAAGAUAAUUGAUGCUUUAAUAACGCUACACAUUAUCCAGGUUGUGGUUGGAGUGUACAUGUGAGGAGAGGCAUCAAUCACAGGUAGUUGUAUUCAACUUUUAUCAGUGUUCAGGUGGGUGGCAAAGUGUGUUCUGUGCUGCUCUGGGGGAAGGAGCGUUGGGCUCUGAGAUAGCAAGUGAAUGAAUCAUCACCUGCCUUUCGCCUGUAUCAAUUUCCUGCAGAUUGGGAGAGGGAGGAUUUACGUUUGCAAUUAUUUUCAAUUUAACUUUCAAUUAUUGCAGCAGGACACAGGAGAUGCCAUGUGCUGCUGUGCUGGAAACAGACUUGAUGAUGAAAACUGCAGCUCCCACCUGGAAGGCCUUCGGUCUCAUGAUCUAGAAGAGAUGGAGAGCCAGGUCUCUACCUGUUGAUGCAGUACGUGACCCAACUGCCAGCCCUGUGGGGUUGUGGGCAGGCCAUGGGGAUGGCUGCUGAUUAUGCACCAUAGAGCCUUAUGGAGUGGCUUCCAUUAGCUGUGUUUGGCUGUAUCCAAGGGCCAGUGUAUAUUGAUGUUGUGUUUGAUGUAUUAAUGAUAUCUGACAUUUCCAUGGGGUGGCUCCAAGCCUCACUGAAGCCAACAGGAGCUGGAGUGGAUCUGCAGACAGAUCCCCUGCUGGUGCAUCCUCUCCCAGGCCUGGUGUCCUGCACUUGGUGCAUCAUGUGUGAAGCAGUAGUGGGCAGCUUUGAGAACGGUGCUCUCCUGUGGAGCUUUUCCUUGUUAAGAUGAUUCCUGAAGCAUCCUGCCUGGCAAAAAUGCCUCCUCUGGCCUGUGUCUGGCUGAAGGCUUGAUUUCUCAAAGAUAUUUAGUAAAUGAGCUCCUGUGUUCUUUGAGGAGUUCGCUGGGAAAGGGGUGUUUCCAUGUGAAAAUACCCUGGGAGGUGUUCUACUGGAGACACGCUGUUUAAAAAGUGCUGGAAAAAGGUGGAAAUCAGCAGUGCCCCACUGAGCUCAGCAUCCAGGCUACAGCACAGCACCUGGGAACCUGUUCUCCAUGGAGAGACCCAUUUGUCCUUGUACAGGUGAGUGAUGUGCAGUAAUAAUGUUGAACUAGAGCCUCAGAAGAGUGGCAAACGUUGAUCAUAUUUCUGAAGAGGUGAGGAAAAUUCCCAAAGGAUUUCAGACUUACUUUCAGGCUUGUCCUCUUUUGCUGAGCAUGCUUGCAUCCCUGCUGGCUGCUCCACACUUACCUGCGCUCCGGCUGCUGCCUGGGAACACUCAUGGCUCUCUUUGUUCUUUAACACAGUGGCGCUGUGAGCUCUUCCAG